GAUGAACGCUAGCUACAGGCUUAACACAUGCAAGUCGAGGGGAAACGACAUCGAAAGCUUGCUUUUGAUGGGCGUCGACCGGCGCACGGGUGAGUAACGCGUAUCCAACCUGCCCACCACUUGGGAAUAACCUUGCGAAAGUAAGACUAAUACCCAAUGAUAUCCCACGAAGGCAUCCGAAUGGGAUUAAAGAUUUAUCGGUGAUGGAUGGGGAUGCGUCUGAUUAGCUUGUUGGCGGGGUAACGGCCCACCAAGGCUACGAUCAGUAGGGGGUUCUGAGAGGAAGGUCCCCCCACAUUGGAACUGAGACACGGUCCAAACUCCUACGGGAGGCAGCAGUGAGGAAUAUUGGUCAAUGGGCGGAAGCCUGAACCAGCCAAGUAGCGUGAGGGAAGACUGCCCCUACGGGGUUGUAAAACCCUCUUUUUGUUUGGGGAAUAAAGUGCGGGACNCGUCCCGCAUUGCAUGUACCAUUUGAAUAAGGACCGGCUAAUUCCGUG
rnacentral:rRNA from 1 species